CAUACCUCAAAUAUGUAUUCCAGUAGCAUCUAGAAGACAAUCUCUUCACUGACACUGAUCUGGUCACAGGAAAUAGAGAUAUACUACUAAACACAAAAUGAUCCUCUGACAAGUGAUGAAGAAGACUGGGAAGAUGUGAAAAUCCAAGCAAGAAGAACUUAUGGGAAGCAACUCAACAUCUAAGAAGAAAUGAAUAGGGAUCAGUUCCAAGAAGAGAUAAAGGGGAAAUACCCAAGAACUGGGAUGCUUCGUCUUUGGUUUCUUCUGGAUCCUCCCUAAAUUUUGGCUAAGAAAUCUGAGUCUCCAUUUAAGAGUGUUCCCAGAAAUGAUGACAUCCACAUCCAGGAACCUCCUCCUUCCUUCACUUGAACUCUCUUGCUUCUGGGGAGCCAGGACCUAUGCAGUAAAAAUCAAGUUCAUUUGGUGACACAUUC